AGAUAGAGCAUAGGGGUUUUUAGAUAGGGGUUAGAUGGGAGGAGGGAGCUGGGCUUUGUCUGGGCUUGCUUUUUGAAAACUACAAAGAGGAGAGAGCACAUGAAAACUGAAGUCCAGAAUUGCUAAUCUAGGCCAGGUAAGAUUUGUCAAGGGAGCUCGCUGUUCCUUGUAGUUUAUCAAGUCUUUCAGUGUCCCUCUACAACCACAACCUGCAAUUGCUGGUGUUUCCCAGACAAACUCUCUUCGUUCCUGGGAAAAGAUUUUGAUUGACCCAAGCUGGGUUAAGUGCUCAUCCUUCAAUCAAAGAUGCUGAUGUCAUUGGAUCUUGCUUCUGCAGCAUCAUAUACUAGAAGAAGAACUCAAGAAGGAAAGGGAAAUCUUCGUCCAGACCUCAACUUUAGCUUCCUUUUUUCCUUUCUUUGUUUCCAUGUCGGUCGUGUGGCAACCAUAGAAAGAUGUUUUGGAGCUCACUGUGGGGUUCCUGAAAAUGUGAGGAAGCUCUCACAAACCUCAAGGCCUCCUCUGUAGUCUCUUCAUAUUCAGAAGCCAAAAAGGUCCCUUUGUUUCCUCCAGUUCUUCAGAAAAUGGGAGCCUAAACCCAGACAAAUCUAUAAGAUUUCUCUACUGUGAGACUUUAUACAUCUCAGUAGCAUCUGUGAAGAAACCAGAAUCUUGAACGUAACAGCAAAGGAAGAGGGAGGAUCCAUGGGGAGCAGCAAUGAUGUGGAGUAAAGACCAUCCAGGCAAGAAGUAGAGGAUCUUGGGUGUGACUUCUGGCUCUUUUCUUUUUCAUCUGACUAACCCUGGACAAGCCAAGGAACCUACCUGGAGCUCACUCCUUGGUAUAGAAGGAACAGGCUCAAUUAGGGUACCUCUAAUGUCUUUUCCAGGCCAGGAAGUAGUAGUCACUAAUAUGGCACACAAUGGCCAUUGUCAUGGAGCCACCAUCUCCAUCUGUCAGAGGUGUGGUUUUCAACCCAAACUUCUGUGUAUUUAGAGCAAUCACAUUUAGCUUCAGUUUCCCAUUUUCCUUUUCUGCUUGUGAUUCCCUCUAGUUAUUUCUAUCCUUUCAUUUAAAAAAUCAGAAAUCUUGCGUUAGAAGGGGAUUGAGGAAGUUAGGCCUCAUUCACUUCAGCUUCCAGCGGGAGUCACCCAGGUGGAGCAGCUAGAGGCCUCCCACUGGCCUCUAGCAGUGACGGAAGCAAGAGCCCAAGGAAGACAUAAAGGCUGGGGGGUGGAGUGGGGGAGGGGAGGGUGUUAUGGGGACCAUUAAGUACCCAACAGGAGGCCAGUUCCCUCUGUGGUUCUCAAAGUGCUGUCCCCAAAACAGCAGCACCAACAUCACCAGGAACUUGUUCGAAAUACAAAUUCUUGAGUCCCACUCUAGACCCACUGGAUUAGAAGCCAGGGAGGAGCUGGCAGCCAUGUGUUUUAAGAAGCCCUGGAGGUGAUUCUGAAGCUAGUCAAGUUUGAGAGCCACUGAGCUGCAAGCAGGUGAUCCAAGGGAGCGAGGAGCCACUAUCUUUUUGUGUUAAAGUAGAAAGUGAAGUUUCCAUAAAUGAAAAUUUUCCACUCUCUAGUUUUUAGUCAUCUUUAAAAUUUUUCCUUUAGAUCUUAGUAAUAUAAACAUUGCUCAUUUUCACAUGGGAGGAAAACAAUUCUGCAGUCAAAUUUGCUGAUUACUAAAUGAAGGGAACUCUGCACCAAGCUGCCUAAUUAAGUCUCUGUAAUAAUCAAGGCAGGCAGGUCAAGGGCAAUAAAUUUCAGACUUGUCUUGGCUGGUUCUGCUGUCUUUACUGAUCACCAAAACCAAGCAAUCAGCAAUCAUUUCCUUAUUUUUUGCUGUGUAGACAUGGCUGAAUAGUUCAUAAAGUAUGCCUAAUCUAUACCAGAAAGGUUAUUUACUCGAGUCCAUAUACAAGGAAACUAAGUAACUUCUUCAGGACUACACUGUCACAAAUGGGCAAGAUCCAAACUCCAAGGUUCUGAGGCUAAACUUGCAAAGUGUCAAGUUCAACUUUUUCUUUCUCUUUUAAUUCUUUCCCUCCUUAUGAACUAUGGCAAACUUAGAACUUUAUCUUUUUCUAUUCAUGAAGCAUUCACGAUAUUUGUCCUGAAAACGUAUUAUGUUUUUAAUAAGAGGAAAACUAAGGUUGAAUGCAAACAAUUUGAUAACAACCCACUUUGUAGUUAACCCAUUUUGUUCCUUAGACCACUGCCAGUUGUAUAAGCUUACAAUUGGGUUUCCCUUCAAUGCUUUUCUCAGAGUCACUUUCCGUCAGGAACUUAUUUAUCAUAGCCUAACUAUAGAAGCCACUAUGCAAUUGUGACUUUCCAAUAACUCCAGUACUGGUCUCCCCCCGUUCCAUGUGACACUAUGGAGGUAGACUCCAGUGAAAAUACACCAAGGAUUUUUUUCCUAACCCAAACUAGCCAAUUCUCUAUGAAAGUUCAUUUACUGUGAUUUUUUGAAAAAAAUUUUAAUUGAAGUAUAGAUGGCUUACGAUAUUAUAUUAGUUUCAGGUGUCCAACAUAAUCGAUUUUUUUAUAAAUUAUUCUCCAUAUGAUUUAUAUGUGAUUUAUAAAUCACUGUUUGCUGUGAUUUAUGUUUUGGAUAUUAUAAUUAUGCCUUCAUGUUCUUCUUAUCUUACGUCUAAAAUGACCUUGUUUCAAGUAUUUUGAUUCCCUUGGUAAAGUGAUUAGCAAAGAUUAACCCAAAAGGCUGUUGAGUUGCCACACACCCAGGAUUUAAAUAAUACAAUUUAAAACAACUUUAUUUUAUAUUGUUGCCCCCACUUUCCUACUGGGCCGGCUUAUACAUCACAUUUACAAUAUUUUCUGGCCUAGAUCAGAUGUUGAAUUUCAAGUCCUCUGAAUUCUUGACCAGGUCAUUAUUUGGAAGCUCACAGCAUCUUUCUUCUCCUGGGCUUGUUGAUCAGAUCUCGUUGGAAGCGGAAGUCUGCCUCAAGCUAGCAUGCUCUCUUCCAAAACCCAGAUGCACGCUGACCCAAGACCUAAUGAAAGUGUAUGCCUGCAGAAGCAAAGAACUGCCCUCGAGGUGUACACCCUCUUCCGGCUUUGCAACCAAAGAUCUGGGGAAGGUCAUUAAUUGCCUUUUCUCAAACAAGUGAGAGAGCGAGCCACUGUGUCCUAUGAUAUUACCAAGGGAGGACAGAUGUAAGAAAAGCCUUUUUUUUUUUUCAUUCUUUUUAUUAGUUGUAACACUGAAUUAGCCCACUAAUUCGCACCUCGUGGCAGGUGUAAUCGUUCUUGUGAACAUUUCUUAAGAAUCUCCAACCUUUCCCAACACAGGCUACAUGAUUUAAUUCAAGCAAUGAUGUGACACUCAGCACAACCUCAAUGCUCUGAAAUGUCUUGGUACAAACUGUAGCUAAACUAAUCAAACCACACCAUAAAAGCAAGUCUGAGCUACCGAUGAUGAGAGAGCUAAUGCUUAUUGAACAUUUGGGUGGGGGCAGGUCCAGACCUAAACGUUUCCCAUGUAUUCAUUUGGACUUAACAACAUAAUGACACUCUACAGUUGAGGACAGUGAAACCCAGAAAAGUUAACUUGACCAAGGUCACACUGGGGGUGAGUGGCCAGGCCGGUUAACAAGAGCUCCAAUGUAUGCAAAGAUCUUCCCCUCCCUCAUCCUUUAAUUCCACUGCCUCCCACUCACCCUCCAUCCCACCCUCAACCCCAUGCCUUUUAUACUGUGGGGUUAGCCUGGAACCCUGGUUGCCUUCAGGCUCCUUUGUUUCCCUGCCCAUGGCUGGAGUCACACAGAAAGCCUGAACAUCUGAUGCGCAUUGGUCAUGCCUCCUCCCUUUGGGGACCAAUUUCACACUGUGCUUAGUAAUGCGUGCAAGAGCAUUAUCUCCUGCUCAAGCAGCAGCCUCUAGGGUGGAGGUGUAGUCUGCCCGUGACUAAACUUGGGGAGAGCAAAACUUGGGACAACUGAGGCACCCUAGCAUGUAGGAGCAACUUAAUUCCACAAAUGCUUACACUAAAGAUGAGUCAAGAUAAAAUGAAUAUAUUUGGACUUGUGUUUCAGUCUGGUGAUUUUUCUGUCACACUGCCCCUCCCUUCCAGCCUUUCUCCCGCUGAGGCCCUCAUGGUGGAGAGUUGCCCAGCCCACACCCAAGCCAAGGCAGCCUGGCAGAGCCCUCCCAGGGCACCAGGUACCAUUUCUAAUAAAGACGGGUAGCUACUGCUCCUUCGUCUUUCCCCUUAUCUGGGUGAAUCAGAAGUCCAGGUGACCUGCCGGGUCUCCUGUGGUAUUAAUUAAUUAUCAUUAGCUUCCAAAGCCUGCAGGAUCAAAAAGAGCCUCUUCAUGAAUAGCAAACAUACGAUCCUCCUCGACUCCCCGCCCCACCAAAUACUUGUGUCAAAAGCAACAGGAGUUAGCAAUUGUUUUAUUCAGCAUUUGUCUAGCUGAGACCAUCCUGGGUCUGCCUUAUCUCAGCCAGCGUCCAAGCCCAUGGAGGAGUUAGUUUAAGGCCGCAACAGGACCAGGGGAGGUCUUUGCCCCAUAUGACUUGGACUAUACCAAGGUAAUUAACCAAAAUUUAUUUGAGGAUUGUUUACUAACAUCUAGGAGUUAGCUUGCUCAGGGAAAGCUUUAACUGUGAAAAGAAAUGCAAAGCCAGGCUCCUGGUAUAGCUGAACUGUGGCCUAAAUAACUUCCCUUCAUUCCAUAGUCACCACAGAUCUAUGGCACCUGCCAGGUGCCAGGCCCUGAGCAUGCAGAGGUGCCGCAAAGAUUCCUGUCCCGGGGAGACUUGACAAUGGCUUCUCCUGGGAGAUUCUUGGAUAUCAACUAUUUACUUUCAAAAGAUUCAGUGGGAAUUAGUUUAAUAUAAGAAAUAUUCAUGACAGCCGGUUCGGGGGCAACUCUUCCAAACACGCUGUAACAAAAUUGGCAAUUUUAGCUAAAUCACACUCUGUUCUUCAGACAUUUGACUCAGAUUUUUCUUUACUACAGUAAAUCUGUGUUUGGAAUGUGGAAACUUAUAGGGACCAGCUACUCUAGCUCAAUCUCCAAGACAGGUUUUCAGACUGGACUACAUUUUCUAGGAGAAGAACCCCUUAAAUGUUUUUAUUCAAUUAGGACAGUAAUGACAGCCAACCUGAAUAUUUUAGUGGAAGCCUUUCUAGGCUUUUAUAUUGGGAUAAUCAAUGGAAAUAAUAGGAAUGCUCUUAAAAGUUUUUCUAAGACUUAAUUAGACACUAGACAUGGUCUCAUUCUGAGUGACUUAAUAUAUUGGGUGUUUUAUGACUCAUCCUUCAUGGUAACCAAUAAAUACCUAUCCCAUGUUCAUUAUAUAUCAUGCACUAAACACUUUUUCACUUAAGAUCUUCCCACAUUUGUAAAUUUUAUACAUUUUUAAUGCUGCUAUUUCUCUGGGUGCCUUAUGGAAGUUGUGCCUUGAGGUAUAUUUUUCUGCUACAUCACUAGAAUUCGUGUUACCAACAAGUCACUGUACAUUAUACACCCUUAAAUAAAUAUAUUAAUUUUCUAUCAGGAGUUAAUGUCAUGGCUCAGUGGUUAACGAAUCUGGCUAGGAACCGUGAAGUUGCAGCUCUGGCCUUGCUCAGUGGGUUAAGGAUCCGGCGUUGCUGUGAGCUGUGGUGUAGGUUGCAGGCACGGCUUGGAUCCCUCGUUGCUGUGGCUCUGGCGUAGGCCGGUGGCUACGGCUCCGAUUAGACCCCUAGCCUGGGAACCUCCAUAUGCCCCAGGAGUGGCCCUAGAAAAG
rnacentral:lncRNA from 1 species